GUCUCAGGCCGUAUCAGCCUGAAGGCGCCCGAUCUCGUCUGAUCUGGGAAGCUAAGCAGGGUCGGGCCUGGUUAGGAUCUUGGAUGGGAGACCACCUGGGAAUCCCGGGUGCUCGAGGCU
rnacentral:rRNA from 1 species